GUUUACUCGUUCAGCUGCUGCAGCCUGGACAGAAACACCAGCUCUCACCUUACAAACCAAACAAGUGUCACCGCUUCGUCCACAAUCAGAGAGAGUCUUUGUACAAUGAAGAAGUUCUUUGAAACCUGGACUGAGGCCUCAAGGAUUCAAACUUGAACCAUUAAAGCACAGAGAGAAGAAACAGACGUGAAGACAUUUCCAGAAGGUCUGAGCUGCUGUCGUCUCCUCCUCCUGCAGAGACAAGAACACGUGUUAAUCACAGAAACUGAUCAGUAAAUAUAAAUAUUUUUACGAUACACUAUGCCUUACCAUACUAUGACAUUUUUAUGCCUUAUUAUACUUUUGACAUUUGGCAUUGUUUGACAUUUUGCACUAUUUUUGAUGCUUUCCUAUACUAUCACAUGUGGCUUAAGAUAAAGGAACUAUCUUAAAGUAGCCAUCUUACCUGUGUUUUCCACAGAUGCACACCUCUACACUGUGUUUGUAGUUUAGGAUUUUAAUUUUGGUAUUUUGCUAAUUCAAAUAAUAACUGUACUCAAAUCCAAUCUGUUACUGGGUACAUACACUGUUUAUACUGUUCAUAUUUAUACUUUUUAUAUAUUGUUAAUAUAUUAUCUUGUUUUAUAUCUUGUCUUACUUAUAUAAUGCCCUUUUCUAUUUUUGCUGUUGCAACACUGAAUUUCCCUGCUGUGGGACUGAUAAAGGAUUAUCUUGCUCAAAUAAAUACUUCUGAACACUGAA